rnacentral:rRNA from 1 species
CCUACGGGAGUCAGCAGUGGGGAAUAUUGCGCAAUGGGCGAAAGCCUGAUGCAGCGACGCCGCGUGAGGGAUGAAGGUCUUCGGAUCGUAACCCUCUGUCAGCAGGGAAGAACGGUCACUGUGCUAAUCAGCAGUGAAUUGACGGUACCUGCAAAGGAAGCACCGGCUAACUCCGUGCCAGCAGCCGCGGUAAUACGGAGGGUGCGAGCGUUAAUCGGAAUUACUGGGCGUAAAGCGCUCGUAGGCGGUAUGUCAAGUCAAGGGUGAAAUCCCCGCGCUCAACGUGGGAACUGCCUUUGAAACUGGCAAACUGGAGUGUGUGAGAGGAUAGUGGAAUUCCAGGUGUAGGAGUGAAAUCCGCAGAUAUCUGGAGGAACAUCAGUGGCGAAGGCGACUAUCUGGCACAUAACUGACGCUGAGGAGCGAAAGCGUGGGUAGCAAACAGGAUUAGAUACCCCGGUAGUC